GAUGAACGCUGGCGGCGUGCCUAAUACAUGCAAGUCGAGCGAACAGAUGAGGAGCUUGCUCCUCUGACGUUAGCGGCGGACGGGUGAGUAACACGUGGAUAACCUACCUAUAAGACUGGGAUAACUUCGGGAAACCGGAGCUAAUACCGGAUAAUAUAUUGAACCGCAUGGUUCAAUAGUGAAAGACGGUUUUGCUGUCACUUAUAGAUGGAUCCGCGCCGCAUUAGCUAGUUGGUAAGGUAACGGCUUACCAAGGCAACGAUGCGUAGCCGACCUGAGAGGGUGAUCGGCCACCCUUGAAAUGAGAAACGGUCCAGACUCCUACGGGAGGCAGCAGUAGGGAAUCUUCCGCAAUGGGCGAAAGCCUGACGGAGCAACGCCGCGUGAGUGAUGAAGGUCUUCGGAUCGUAAAACGCUGUUAUUAGGGAAGAACAAAUGUGUAAGUAACUAUGCACGUCUUGACGGUACCUAAGCAGAAAGCCACGGCUAACUACGU
rnacentral:rRNA from 1 species